CCUACGGGUGGCAGCAGUGGGGGAUAUUGCACAAUGGGGGGAACCCUGAUGCAGCGACGCCGCGUGUGGGAAGAUGGUCCUCUGGAUUGUAAACCACUGUUCCCAGGGACGAAAAUGACGGUACCUGGGGUGGAAGCUCCGGCUAACUACGUGCCAGCAGCCGCGGUAAUACGUAGGGAGCGAGCGUUGUCCGGAAUUACUGGGUGUAAAGGGAGCGUAGGGGGGGAUGCAAGUUGGGUGUCAAAACUACCGGCUCAACUGGUAGUCGCACUCAAAACUGCAGCUCUUGAGUGAAGUAGAGGCAGGCGGAAUUCCUAGUGUAGCGGUGAAAUGAGUAGAUAUUAGGAGGAACACCAGUGGCGAAGGCGGCCUGCUGGGCUUUUACUGACGCUGAGGCUCGAAAGUGUGGGGAGCAAACAGGAUUAGAUACCCCGGUAGU
rnacentral:rRNA from 1 species